rnacentral:rRNA from 1 species
AAGUCGAACGAUGACUUCUGUGCUUGCACAGAAUGAUUAGUGGCGAACGGGUGAGUAACACGUGAGUAACCUGCCCUUAACUUCGGGAUAAGCCUGGGAAACCGGGUCUAAUACCGGAUACGACCUCCUGGCGCAUGCCAUGGUGGUGGAAAGCUUUAGCGGUUUUGGAUGGACUCGCGGCCUAUCAGCUUGUUGGUUGGGGUAAUGGCCCACCAAGGCGACGACGGGUAGCCGGCCUGAGAGGGUGACCGGCCACACUGGGACUGAGACACGGCCCAGACUCCUACGGGAGGCAGCAGUGGGGAAUAUUGCACAAUGGGCGAAAGCCUGAUGCAGCGACGCCGCGUGAGGGAUGACGGCCUUCGGGUUGUAAACCUCUUUCAGCAGGGAAGAAGCGAAAGUGACGGUACCUGCAGAAGAAGCGCCGGCUAACUACGUGCCAGCAGCCGCGGUAAUACG